rnacentral:tRNA from 1 species
GGCGGCGUAGCUCAGUUGGCAGAGCAGGGGACUCAUAAGCCCCGUGUCGGGGGUUCGAUUCCCUCCGCCGCCA